rnacentral:rRNA from 1 species
GACGAACGCUGGCGGCGUGCUUAACACAUGCAAGUCGAACGGUGAAGCGCCUUCCUUUUUGGUGGGUGUGGAUGAGUGGCGAACGGGUGAGUAACACGUGAGUAACCUGCCCCCUUCUUCUGGAUAACCGCAUGAAAGUGUGGCUAAUACGGGAUAUUCUGUGUCUGUCGCAUGAUGGGUCUGGGAAAGAUAUUGUUUCGGUGGGGGAUGGGCUCGCGGCCUAUCAGCUUGUUGGUGGGGUGAUGGCCUACCAAGGCGGUGACGGGUAGCCGGCCUGGGAGGGUGGACGGUCACACUGGGACUGAGACCCGGCCCAGACUCCUACGGGAGGCAGCAGUGGGGAAUAUUGCACAAUGGGCGCAAGCCUGAUGCAGCGACGCCGCGUGAGGGAUGGAGGCCUUCGGGUUGUGAACCUCUUUCGCCAGUGAAGCAGGCCUGCCUCGUUUGUGGGUGGGUUGACGGUAGCUGGAUAAGAAGCGCCGGCUAACUACGUG